CUCCGUCCAUCUCACAGGCUCGACACGCCUCCCUGAACGCAACACGACUCGACACGUCAUGGAAAUACGCAAUUUUAUAGCAGGGACGUCCCGGGCCACCUGAACACACCGUCUGACCUGAGAGGCAGAGAGUGACAGCUCUGAUGUCCGUCUGUCCGUCCACAUGAUCGUCUCAGCUGCUCUGUCACCCUCUCAUAUUCAUGUGAUGGUUUACCUGAGGAUCGAUCAGGCUCAUUGAUGGUUGAGCCUGUGACAGACGCUGAUGGAAAUCGUUUCUGCCCCUGAGGAAACGUGUGAGGCGGUUUAUUAUUCCUCUGAUGGAGAACGGGAAUCAAUGGGAGCCUGAGCUGGUCUGGAUUGACCUGAUCUGUGUCCCUGAACGCAGCACGGAAACAUUAAAGCACGUGAUCCUGUAACCUCACCACAGGUGAGCUCAACAACACAGCACCUGAACAUCAGAGUAAAGGCAGGACAGUCUGUAAAUGUUACACCUGUUUGUGUCAGCUGAUCAUGACAGAGUGAUCACACCUGUGGUUCAGUCUGGGUGAAACGGUGAAAUGCUGCUCAGUUUCCAUCAGAGGAAUGGAGUCGUCUCCUCUGAGUCUCUGUUGUUUCAGGAGGACAGAAGGAAACGACCACCUCAGAUCAGGUGUGCUCCACCUGAACACCACCUCAGCAGUUAACGUCAGAUAUGAACACAAACACAUUUAAAACAUUAAACCAUGAACCUGAGCUCAGACCUGAGAGCACCUGGAAGGCAUCAUGAGUCUGUA